rnacentral:rRNA from 1 species
UGAAUACGAGGCACUAAGGUGCUGAAGUAGUGUAUGUCAUACUUCCAAGAAAAGCUUGCACUAUCGUAAGAUAAAAAUGCCUGUACCAUAACCGACACAGGUGGGUAGGUAGAGUAUACUAAGGGGCGCGAGAUAACUCUCUCUAAGGAACUCGGCAAAAUAACUCCGUAACUUCGGGAGAAGGAGUGCCUUAUUCUAUAAGGUUGCAAUAACAAGAUCCAAGCAACUGUUUAUCAAAAACACAGGUCUCCGCUAAGUCGUAAGACGAUGUAUGGGGGCUGACGCCUGCCCAGUGCCAGAAGGUUAAAGAAGUCGGUUAGCAAUUGCGAAGCUGGUAACUGAAGCCCUGGUGAACGGCGGCCGUAACAAUAACGGUCCUAAGGUAGCGAAAUUCCUUGUCGGGUAAGUUCCGACCCGCACGAAAGGCGUAAUGAUUUGGAUACUGUCUCGGAGAGGGACUCGGUGAAAUAGACUUGUCUGUGAAGAUGCGGACUACCUGCACCAGGACAGAAAGACCCUAUGAAGCUUUACUGUAACUUGAAAUUGAAAUUGGACUUUAUUCGCGCAGUAUAGGUGGGAGGCGUUGAUUAUAAUCUUGUGGGAUUAUUGGAGCCAUUAGUGAGAUACCACUCUUGUAAUGUUAGAUUUCUAACUUUGAAUCAUGAUCUGGUCAAAGAACAGUUUCAGGCGGGCAGUUUGACUGGGGCGGUCGCCUCCUAAAUGGUAACGGAGGCGUACAAAGGUUUCCUCUGAACGGGUAGAAAUCGUAUCUAGAGUGUAAAGGCGUAAGGAAGCUUGACUGUGAGACCUACAAGUCGAGCAGGGACGAAAGUCGGUCUUAGUGAUCUGACGGUACUGAGUGGAAAGGCCGUCACUCAACGGAUAAAAGUUACUCUAGGAUAACAGGCUGAUCUCCCCCAAGAGUUCACAUCGACGGGGAGGUUUGGCACCUCGAUGUCGGCUCAUCGCAUCCUGGGGCGGUAGUACGUCCCAAGGGUUGGGCUGUUCGCCCAUGAAAGCGGUACGCGAGCUGGGUUCAGAACGUCGUGAGACAGUUCGGUCCAUAUCCGGUGUAGGCGUUAGAAUAUUGAGAGGAGCCUUCUUUAGUACGAGAGGACCGAGAAGGACAUACCUCUGGUGUACCAGUUAUCGUGCCAACGGUAAACGCUGGGUAGCUAUGUAUGGAGUGGAUAACCGCUGAAAGCAUCUAAGUGAGAAGCCCACCUCAAGAUAAGUAUUCUC